UGUUCUUUGUCUUUCCACAG
rnacentral:miRNA from 1 species